GCAUGAUCACAACAAAAGUAGCUGUGCAGCACGUUUUUUUAAUGAAGAGGAGGAUGGUUGUAGACGUUCACAUUCCUGCAAGAAGGCACUGCAGAGGCUCAGAAGACACAUGGAAACUCUAAAAGAAACAUAAUUCAACUUGUAGGCCAGAUUUGAAAAGGAAAUAAUAAAUCCCGAAGCUCAGAUGUCAGACACCGAGGCUGCCAGUACCUCUGGGUCGAUAGUCCAUGUGUUGGAUGAUGCACUGCCGUUGAUCAGAACAAGUUAGUAACUUGACCAAAGCUAUGCUUGGAUACAAGACUGAUGACUCAAUAACCAAUAUUGACAACAGUGAAGAUGGUUGUGUCCCAGGGCCAUCAGAGGAAGGCAAUUUCUAUGAAGAAAAUCUGACCGGAGAGAUGUCAGCGAUUCGGGCCAAUGACCAAGGGAAAGCUGGGACAAAAGAGAGGCUCACACAGUGCCAAAGGAACAAAAAGGCAGAGCAUGCAACAGAUGGCACACAGACAGCAGAGUUGGGGACAGCUAUGCAGGGACAGACUGGCAGAGACAGGGAGUCUCAGGUAAGUUUGUUGAGUCUUUGUUUGGCAACAUUAUGAAAGGUUCUCAAUUUUUUUGACUUGUAAAAUAGGAACAUAAUUGGAAAAUGCCAUGGAUACCCCCACUCUCAACUUAAACUGGUGACUGAACUAAGAUUUGUUAAAGGCAAUGGUAUUGCUGUUGUGAUUAGUUGUGUAGUUUUGGGUACCGGUAGUUAGGAGUACGGCAAACACCUUAUUUCUUUGGUUCCUCAA
rnacentral:lncRNA from 1 species